AAUCGCAGUCACACUACCUACCACUCCCUCACUCCUCUCUGGUCGUCUCUCAUUAGAACCCGCAUCAAGAGUCACCCUUCCACUACAUCCAGCCGCCGGUACGGGGACCGUCCCUCCCUACCUCGAGCCGCCGUCGCAGGGACGGCUGCCUCCCCGAAGCCGGCUCGAGGACCAUGGCCACCCUGCCUACCCGCUGCCGCCAUUUGUUCUGGUUCCUCCCCUUCCUCCCUGCCGCUGCCGGUAUUUACUCGCACUAACGGAGGCGGAGGGGCAGACGUCUUGUCUACCGGAUUCGCGGCCGCGGCCGCGGCCACCGCGCUCGCGUUGGAUAGCACCACAUCACAGGCCCUCCUCCUCCUUCUGCCGGACAAGGCGGUCAAUCGGAGCAAGCGGCGGACGGGCGAGGGACGCUGGUGCGGUGAUGAAGCCUUGCUAUGACUUUUCAAGGAGGGAAGAGCAAGCAACCAACCAGGUUUAGCGCUCACGCAGAUAUAAAACUACGGGACUUGUACAACGUGAAGUUGGAUCUUGCAGUGCCACAGGACUGAUCAACGUGCGAAGCAUGUCCGUCACAUGUAGGAGUUGCAACUUCAUCUUUAGGCUGGCCUGUUUAUUUUAACAUCCAGUCAAACUCAGGUUUCUGUUGGUAAUGUUGAUCAACCUGUGAAGUAUCUUCAACAUUUGUGGGUGCUGGAACUAAAUUGGUGUCUUGGCCUGUUUCAGCAUAUUAAAAUUCAGUUGAAAUCAAGAUCAUGUAGGUGUAAGUAACUCCAUAAUUUCACCCGCGGCUGAUGUGUUUACUAUGUCUUGAAAUGGUGAAAGGCUGAAGUAUUUGAUUGUUGUGCCAUCUGGCAGCCGAGACUUACCGGCCAGAGCGUUGACUCGAAGUUGUAUUUUACGACGGGGCUUAGAAGCGAGUUUGCAAGCUCCCAAGGCGGCGGAGGGUCACCACGGCUGGGAGUUGCCGUCUGGAGUACGUCGGCGCAAUGUGGCGGAGGGUCAAUCGGCGAGGAGUCGUCACCUCUGUAGUACGCCGGCGUGGCGGCCGCGCAUGAGUGAUGGAGUCGAGGCGACGGCGACGCGCCAGAUGAG